rnacentral:rRNA from 1 species
UACGAAGGGGGGCUAGCGUUGCUCGGAAUCACUGGGCGUAAAGCGCACGUAGGCGGCUUUCUAAGUCAGGGGUGAAAUCCUGGGGCUCAACCUCAGAAUUGCCUCCGAUACUGGCAGUCUCGAGUGCGGGAGAGGUGAGUGGAAUUCCCAGUGUAGAGGUGAAAUUCGUAGAUAUUGGGAAGAACACCAGUGGCGAAGGCGGCUCACUGGCCCGUAACUGACGCUGAGGUGCGAAAGCGUGGGGAGCAAACAGG